GACGAACGCUGGCGGCGUGCUUAACACAUGCAAGUCGAACGGUAAGGCCCUUCGGGGUACACGAGUGGCGAACGGGUGAGUAACACGUGGGUGAUCUGCCCUGCACUUCGGGAUAAGCCUGGGAAACUGGGUCUAAUACCGGAUAGGACCACUGCCUGCAUGGGUGGUGGUGGAAAGCUUUUGCGGUGUGGGAUGGGCCCGCGGCCUAUCAGCCUGUUGGGGGGGUGAUGGCCUACCAAGGCGACGACGGGUAGCCGGCCUGAGAGGGUGACCGGCCACACUGGGACUGAGAUACGGCCCAGACUCCUACGGGAGGCAGCAGUGGGGAAUAUUGCACAAUGGGCGCAAGCCUGAUGCAGCGACGCCGCGUGAGGGAUGACGGCCUUCGGGUUGUAAACCUCUUUCAGCACCGACGAAGCGCAAGUGACGGUAGGUGCAGAAGAAGGACCGGCCAACUACGUGCCAGCAGCCGCGGUAA
rnacentral:rRNA from 1 species